GUCUGCCUACGGGGGGCAGCAGUGGGGGAUAUUGCACAAUGGGGGGAACCCUGAUGCAGCGACGCCGCGUGGGUGAAGAAGCGCCUCGGCGCGUAAAGCCCUGUCAGCAGGGAAGAAAAUGACGGUACCUGAAGAAGAAGCCCCGGCUAACUACGUGCCAGCAGCCGCGGUAAUACGUAGGGAGCAAGCGUUAUCCGGAUUUAUUGGGUGUAAAGGGUGCGUAGAUGGAUAAACAAGUUGUUUGUGAAAUACCUCGGCUCAACUGAGGAACUGCAAGCAAAACUGUAUAUCUUGAGUACUGGAGG
rnacentral:rRNA from 1 species